rnacentral:tRNA from 24 species
GCAUUCUUAGCUCAGUUGGAUAGAGCAACAACCUUCUAAGUUGAAGGUCACAGGUUCAAAUCCUGUAGAAUGCG